rnacentral:rRNA from 1 species
UAGGGAAUCUUCGGCAAUGGACGAAAGUCUGGCCGAGCAACGCCGCGUGAGUGAAGAAGGUUUUCGGAUCGUAAAACUCUGUUGGUAGAGAAGAACGUUGGUGAGAGUGGAAAGCUCAUCAAGUGACGGUAACUACCCAGAAAGGGACGGCUAACUACGUGCCAC